GAUUCUCCUCUCGGGCGAAACCGCAGCCAAGGCGAGGGUUUCCUCCUCUCGACGUCGGCGAGGCGUUUUCCGGCCGGUCUCCACCCGUGGGUGACCUUUCCGGCAAGGAAAGCUUGGGGAACACAAGGAAAAGGGAGAAACCGAAGCUCUACCGAAAACCUAGGGCGCUCCUCGUGUUAUACAGAUAAGAGUAAAGGAAAAGCUAAAGUGUUAUAGAGGAAGGCGACAAGGAGAUGUUGGUGGUGUGUGUGUGAUGCCGGAUAUGGAAGCUUGGGACCUUACUAGAAGAGUUUAGAAAUUGUAUUUGCUGGUGUUUAUGUUACUGUUAGAGUAGAAUUUAUUUUGCAUUACUAAUUUCGUUAUCUUCCUGUCAUUUAGUUGGAAUAACUGUUAAGCUGAGAACAUGUUCCUUUUUCCUUAUUCUGGCUUAGUUUUCAAGUUUUGUGAAGUAAGAUCAUAUCUGAUUGGAGUUUGAUUUUUUU